CUGAACCAGCCAUGCCGCGUGAAGGAAGACGGCCCUACGGGUUGUAAACUUCUUUUGUACGGGAAAAAACCUCCGGUCGUGAACCGGAGUUGAUGGUACCGUAAGAAUAAGCAUCGGCUAACUCCGUGCCAGCAGCCGCGGUAAUACGGAGGAUGCAAGCGUUAUCCGGAUUCAUUGGGUUUAAAGGGUGCGCAGGCGGAAUGAUAAGUCAGUGGUGAAAUCUCUCGGCUCAACUGAAAAACUGCCAUUGAUACUGUCGUUCUUGAGUACACUUGGAGUGGGCGGAAUGUGUCAUGUAGCGGUGAAAUGCUUAGAUAUGACACAGAACACCGAUCGCGAAGGCAGCUCACUAAGUUGUAACUGACGCUCAUGCACGAAAGCGUGGGGAUCAAACAGGAUUAGAUACCCUGGUAGUCCACGCUGUAAACGAUGAUCACUCGAUGUUGGCGAUAUACAGUCAGCGUCUAAGCGAAAGCAUUAAGUGAUCCACCUGGGGAGUACGAUCGCAAGAUUGAAACUCAAGG
rnacentral:rRNA from 1 species